UACGUAGGGGGCAAGCGUUGUCCGGAUUUAUUGGGCGUAAAGAGCGUGUAGGCGGUCAGGUAGGUCCGUUGUGAAAACUGAGGCUCAACCUCGAGACGCCGAUGGAAACCAUCUGACUAGAGUCCGGAAGAGGAGAGUGGAAUUCCUGGUGUAGCGGUGAAAUGCGCAGAUAUCAGGAAGAACACCCGUGGCUAAGGCGGCUCUCUAGUACGGUACUGACGCUGAGACGCGAAAAGCGUGGGGGAGCGAACAGGG
rnacentral:rRNA from 1 species